rnacentral:lncRNA from 1 species
CUUAAACGGUAAAUGGUUUCUGUUGCAACACAUAUUGAAUUGGGGACUUAAACAAGAGUUUCUACAGGACAAAAUCAGAGAUGGAGAAGUUGGGUGGUUCAUACAGCUCUGUGUAUGAGUCGACUGGGCAUGCUGCCUGGGCAGACCAUCGGCAACAUCAGGACCUGGAGACAUCGGACUACCUCAAGGGAAAUAUCAAAUACUUUUACAUGAACCCCUGUGAGAAAUACAGAGCACGGAGACGGAAACCAUUGGAAACUGAGGCUCCACAUCAUCAAGAUCACCAUCAUUACCAUCAUCAUUACCAUCCAGGCACUGACCAAUGAGGG